GUUGAAAUCAGCUUAGCUGCGGAUAGAUUUCUGCCAUAAGCUGGUAUGUUUGAAUAUUUCUCGAGGUAUUAUCUGUUUGUAACAGCAAUGGUUCAGCAUCUACAAUGGAUUCAACAUCAGGUGUUUGCUAUUAUUGUUUGAUGUUGUUUGCCAUUAUUGUUUGAUGUUGUUUGCUAUUAUUGUUUGAUGUUGUUUGCUAUUGUUGUCAAGUAAGGUAAAAAUGGCCAUUCUAAUUACCUGAAUAUUGCGU
rnacentral:lncRNA from 1 species